CUGCGCGGCAGCGCGGGUGCGCAGGGCGGCAGGACUGCAGGGCGCGGCCUGCACCCCCUGCUGCAGAGGAGGACAGGACCUGCCGCUGCUGCACAGGUGCAGAGGAAGAGGGCCACGACCACCGCCCACCGCCCAGAUUUCAAAAAAGUGAAAACUUUUUGGAGAAGAAUGAGAUUGAAGUGCCGGAUAUGAACGAGGAAAUAAAUGUCAGAGGGACAUCUAGACGUAGGAAGCAAAAGAUAACAAACAUGCAUCACUAUUAUGUUGAGAUUUUUCUUGUCGCCAUUGAUGCCAUCUUGAUUGAGUUGAACCAUUGAUUUAGUGAAAUCAGUUCAGAGUUAUUAGUAUGUAUGGCUUGUUUUAACCCAAGAAACUCCUUCUCUAAUUUCAAUGUGGCUAAACUCAUGAGACUUGCUGAAA